UAUGUGAUCGUCUCUCGCAUAUCAAUAAGCGGAGGAAAAGAAACUAACAAGGAUUCCCCUAGUAACGGCGAGUGAAGCGGGAAGAGCUCAAAUUUGAAAUCUUAAAGGGUUUCCCUUUACGAAUUGUAGUUUAAAGAAGUGUUUUUCUGUUGAGGUUUUGGUAAAAGUUCUUUGGAAUAGGACAUCAUAGAGGGUGAGAAUCCCGUAUUUGACCUUUACUUUCAACUUUGUGAUACACUUUCAAAGAGUCGGAUUGUUUGGGAAUGCAGUCCAAAAUGGGUGGUAAAUUUCAUCUAAAGCUAAAUAUCGGCGAGAGACCGAUAGCGAACAAGUACCGUGAGGGAAAGAUGAAAAGAACUUUGAAAAGAGAGUUAAACAGUACGUGAAAUUGUCAAAAGGGAAGCGUUUGACACCAGUGUUGUUUUUCUGAAAAUCAAUUAAAGAACUGUUUAUGCUAAGUUGUUUAGACUUUAUCAGCUAUCUGCUUAGUUUUGAGCUUUUCUUUAAUGCACUUUUCAGUUAACAAGUCAACAUCAAUUUCUUUUGCUGUAAAAAAGCUUGAGGAAGGUGGCUUGAGAUUCGUCUUAAGUGUUUAUAGCCUCUUGCCUAUGCAGUCGGAGAGAUUGAGGUCUGCAGCGUAGAUCCUUCGGGGCUAAAUGCAUUUGUGCUAAGUUAUAGCAUUUUAUAGACAACUUGUUGACUAUGAUUUGUCUUGUAGCUUACUCGCUUAUGUUAUUUUACCUACGCUUAGGAUGUUGAUCUACAGAGCGAGAGU
rnacentral:rRNA from 1 species